UACGUAGGGGGCGAGCGUUAUCCGGAAUUAUUGGGCGUAAAGAGUACGUAGGUGGUUUUGUAAGCAUGGGGUGAAAGACCGAAGCUCAACUUCGGUUAGCCUUGUGAACUGCAAGACUUGAGUGCAGGAGAGGAAAGUGGAAUUCCUAGUGUAGCGGUGAAAUGCGUAGAUAUUAGGAGGAACACCAGUGGCGAAGGCGACUUUCUGGACUGUAACUGACACUGAGGUACGAAAGCGUGGGUAGCAAACAGGAUUAGAUACCCUGGUAGUCCACGCCGUAAACGAUGAGCACUAGGUGUCGGGGUCGCAAGGCCUCGGUGCCGCAGUUAACGCAUUAAGUGCUCCGCCUGGGGAGUACGCACGCAAGUGUAAA
rnacentral:rRNA from 1 species